AAUAUAUUUUUGGGAGGAGGGGCGGGAGGACGGCCACGUCACGCGUGGGGCCCACCUGUCGGAGCCGGAAAUUUCCAGAAGCGACCGGGAGCUCGUGGCUGUGGGCGGCCCGGGCCCACACGCAGUAGCUCCUUCUCUCUUUUCGGGGAUUGAUCAGCAUGGCCGAACUACCAACCAAAUGGCACCCACACGACUGCGCUUUGCGCCUCCUCUCAACACGUGGCACUGGUGUGGCCAGCUAAUACUACCUCCUGGCCGAAAUAUCCGUAGCCACAUGUUCGAGAGAAGGAGUUGGACUUCAUGCUGGCUUGGCUACUUUUUGAUGGAUUUUUUUUAUUUCACCAUGUAUAUUGACUACCAUGCAUGCAUGUCUAGUAGCUAUGUUCCAAUAUAUUUUACAUUUUGAUGGAAAUGUCUAUAGUUUCUCUAGGAGUCACCACAUGUUAGCAUAACAAAGAAAUCUGAUAAAUGGGUGGUCCUUAGCUGAUUUCUGUCCGUGUGCCAAAAGUGUUAAGCCUGACGAUUCGAAAACCA